rnacentral:lncRNA from 1 species
CCGUGGGCAAUUCAUUCUUGGCUCAUGGCAUCGGUAGUGCUUUCGCUCAUCGCCUACUUGUCCUCGAAGCUUCAUGCUAGUUUCCAGGAUCCUGUGGUGAGUGGAACACCCCCUUUGCCAUAAAAAAUAUAUUAUGUAGGUAAGUACUACUGCUUGCUACCAUCAUCCGACCGUUUCGCGGUAGCAGGUUUAAGUUUCUAUUUGAAUAAAUGUCUGAAACUUCAGACUAGUUUGAACGGUACUGGAAUUGGAGUUUGUAUGAAGUACUCCUAUCUCUUUCGUUUGGAGAAGUAUUGGAGUAUGUUAAGUAGACUUGGUGAUGUGUUGUAAUAGUUGGCUUGAAGGUUCUGUGUGUAGACUUGGUUUGUUUGUACUCUGUGGUGUUGACACCUGAAAUCAGUGAUGUAUUGAGACUUGGAAUGGUUUGUGAAGUUCCUUAUGCUGUGGUCUGUGGCUCAUUUGCUUCACACUUGGAACCUCAGACUGAGGCAUAUUCCAUUUGCUUCACACUUGCAGCUG